AGAGACCGUACCGUAAACCGACACAGGUAGGCAGGAUGAGAAUUCUCAGGCGCUUGAGAGAACUUGGGUGAAGGAACUAGGCAAAAUAGUACCGUAACUUCGGGAGAAGGUACGCCAGCACUUAACUGUGUUGGCCGCAGAAACCAGGCCGCUGCGACUGUUUAUCAAAAACACAGCACUCUGCAAACACGAAAGUGGACGUAUAGGGUGUGACGCCUGCCCGGUGCCGGAAGGUUAAUUGAUGGGGUGCAAGCUCUUGAUCGAAGCCCCGGUAAACGGCGGCCGUAACAAUAACGGUCCUAAGGUAGCGAAAUUCCUUGUCGGGUAAGUUCCGACCUGCACGAAUGGCGUAACGACAGCGGCGCUGUCUCCACCCAAGGCUCAGUGAAAUUGAAAUCGCUGUGAAGAUGCAGCGUUCCCGCGGCAAGACGGAAAGACCCCGUGAACCUUUACUAUAGCUUCACACUGAACGUUGAGUUCGUCUGUGUAGGAUAGGUGGGAGCCUAUGAAGCGUUGGCGCUAGCUGAUGUGGAGG
rnacentral:rRNA from 1 species